UAUUCUCCUUUAAAAAUGAAUUCUAGCUCCAUAAACUACCGCUAUACAAAACAUCACAUCAUUUUAUUACUACAGUCCAAAUGAAAUGAAGCUGUGUUAAUCAUUCUGUCUCACUCACACACUAUACACAGGUGUACUGAGCAAGCGAGAUCGAAUGUUUUUUUUUCAAAGAUUAU